rnacentral:rRNA from 1 species
UUACGGUCAAAUCACGCUGAAACACCGGUUCUCGUACGAUCACCGAAGUUAAGCAUCUUAGAGCCAGGUCAGUACUUAGAUGGGGGACCGCUUGGGAACACCUGGUACUGUAAG